AGGACUUGCUGGUGAAAAGUGGAUGAUAGCGGACUAGCCAAGCAUUUCCAUUGGUCGACGUAUAUAUUAAUUCCAGAAAAAAUCCAGCGUUUGUUGCCGUGCGGGGAAUGCUGUUCUGGGUCGAUCGAUCUGUGAACGGCUUAAGAUUUGCCGGUCGCACUCAACUCAAUACCGCUUCCAGCAGUAUUGAAUUUGCCGUGUGUGAUCUGGGUGGCUAAGAUCUGGGUGGCUAAGAUUUGCUGUUCUGUGUAUAAAUGUGCCUGCCAGUGCAGUCGCUCCUUAAUUCUUCCAAAGACGGAAAACAUGAAUUCCAAUAUGGCGUCCAGAAUAUUGGUUGUGCUGUGUGUGAUCAUGGCAUCUCUCAUGUUCAUCGCGCAGGACGUGCUUGCUGCAAGAGUCCUUGCUCAAACCAGCGGUUAUUCAUACAUUGGUGACUUCCCACCUGCUGCUUCAUAUGGCUCGGCGCCAUCCGGUAGAAGAAACCCACCACGUUACCCACCUUCUAGGUACUCGCAUCCUUAGGUGUGACCGUGUGAGUCGGAUCAUCUACGAUGAAAGCAGCCUCGCACAUGCAGAUAUAUCAAGACGGGGACGAUGGAUUCAGAUAUUUUAACUUUGAAGAACCUUCAAGUAUUGUCAAUGAUCUUUAUGUUGGGGUUUGUUUCAGUUUAUUCCACCUUUUGUACUUUUCUUAUUGCGUCGAUUAAUCCAGAUGAUUGAUCAAAAGAAAGAAAAAAUCUAUGAUGUAAACAUGUGGGACAGUGGGAGGGACUAAUUGACCUGGCUAAUCCGAGAAGCAACAUACUACCUGCUUA